UCCCCUCGGCGAAUGCAGGGAGGUUGAGUCUUCCAAGCAAGUUGUUACUACUAUUUUCCCGAACAGGAAUAGUUUUGUUUCAUUAUGUUUUAUCGUAAAAGUAGUAUGUGCACUUAUAAAACAAGCAAUACAGAAGGGCAUCAAGUGGAAGUAAAAUUUUUACCGUUAUCUCCUCCCUGAGAUACCCACUUUGAACAUUUGGGUUUAAAUCCUUCCAGGCUUCAUGCCCCCCCCCUUUUUUUAACCCCCAACUCUUCCCUCCUCCACAGAACUAGACAGACAAAACAAACAUGCAAAAAACCCAAAACGCAUAGAUUUGGGGUGGGGGGUGGAAUGGGGUUUGGCUAUUUUGAUUUAUAAUCUGCUUUUUCUCCCCAUGAAAUAAUAAAUCUGGACAUUUCCCCACAUCCAUACGGAAUACAGGUAACCAUUAUUAUCUUUAAUGAUAUCAUUUUUCCAUUAUAUGGAUGAGCAUAUUUCCUCAAUUUGUUGAUAGACAACUAUCAAUUGUUUCUGUUUUGUUUGAUUUUGCUUGUGUAUCUUUGUUCACUUAUCUACAUAAUUUCCCCAAGGGAAAUUAAUGGAAACAGAAUUGCUGGGACAAAAGGAAUGCAAUAGUAUAAAAUAUUAUUUUACAACAUGUUGCCAGGUUGCCAGGUUGGUAGAAAAGUUGUUCUAAUUUACCAUUGAAAAAGCCAUUUAAAAAAUUUUUUUCACAGUGGUGUGACACUGAAUACAGGAAACUUCAAUUACAAUAGAGGCAGGAGGACAAGGGACACCUGUUAAGCAUCUUGAUUUCAGCUCAGGAAGAAACCUACUUUAUUACCUUAGCAAGCAGGAGGAAGAUUUUGCUCCUUGUUCAACAGCAGACCAGCCAAUGAGAAACUGCCACAACUUAGCCAAUGAGAAACUGUAAUCACCCUUCUCAGUUUCCUCUAAUGGACUUUUAUCCAAAGCUGCCCCUCCCAACUUCCCUUUCCCCUAUAAUGUUCCUUUCCUUUGUUCUCUGGACUAGCCUAUGAUUUUGCUUUGGCUUGCAUGUCCAAAUUGCAAUUCCUCUGCCAUUUCUGAAUAAACCCAUUUUGCUGGUAAA